GUUCUUUGUUUUUUAUUAUUAUUGUCUUUUAUUUUUGUUUGUUUGGGUUUGAUUAUUUAGUGAUUGUCUGCCUCCUAUUAUUGCUCAUCAAAUUGCAGAAAGAAAUCCAAAUUUGUCAGAGCUACCAACAACAGUUAUGCGAUGCAUUGGCUGUUCUCAGAGGAAAUAUUGAGAAGUAUUACAACAUAAAUACAGAAGACACAGAAUGUUCACCAGGAAAGCUUUUGAGGCUUUUACGUAACAAACUGCAUGAGAAGGAGUCCAUAAUUAAAAAUCUGGAAAGAAGACUGCAGGAAUGUCAAGAAAAAGGAAGGGCUAAAAUGGUAUUUUUUUUAAAAAAAAUAAAUAAAUCAUAAACUCAUUGUCUGAAUGUGGAAAUCUUUAAAUUUAAACACCUUCUACAAAGUAUACUUCUAGUCUCAUUAUUUUUAUAGAAAACACUAGGAUGGGAAAAUACUAGCACACUACCCUUACUAAAGGUAAGUACUUUGACUAAGAUAAUCUACAGUACUUUAUUAAUGUCACACAAUUUUAUAUCAGUGAUAGUCUGAACAAGGGUUUGUAGUUGUACUGCCU
rnacentral:lncRNA from 1 species